UUGAAUUGGAUCUAUUGAGCCGCAGCAAAUGUUGUGUCGAAUACGGUGACAUCAGUUGACACUUAGUAUAAGUAUUAAUCACAACAAGAACAACGCAGUCAACAAAGUAGAAACAUGGUAUCACUAGCAGUUGAGGUCACGCUCGGAGUAUUCUGUGCUUACUUUCUGGUGUCCACAAUUGUCUACUUCUUCCCUGCCAUUCUCCACAAGAGGAAGAGGAGUGGUGCUCUAGGGAGGAAAGGUAUGACUAUUGCACACAGAGGGGGCAGUUGUGAGUUCCUGGAAAACACAAUGACUGCCUUCAGGAAUGCGGUCAAAGUGGGAGCAGAUGUCAUCGAAUUAGAUGUGCAACUGACCAAGGAUAAGAAAGUGGUGGUUUGUCACGACAACAACCUAGAGCGGCUCACGGGAGAGAAGAAACUCAUCAACCAGACAUGUUACAGUGAUCUGCCCAAAAUAACGAGUCCACAGAUGAUGAUAUUCCCGCAAGAGUGUGUUGUGGAUCAUCAUGACCGACAGAUUCCUCUUUUGGAAGAGGUGUUCGAGGAGUUCCCGCACACCACCAUUAAUCUAGACGUGAAAGAACAAGAUGCCAGUCUAAGGACCCAGGUGGAGUUUCUGAUUCGCAAGUUUGGCCGUGAGAACUUGACAGUGUGGGGCAGUUGGCAUGACUCAGUGUGCAAACAGCUGUUCAAACUCAAUCCCAACAUACCUCUCAUCAUGUCCAUGCGCAAGAUAGUGAUACACGCGUUCAUCUUCUGGACGGGUCUGUUGCCAUUCAUUCCGAUCAAGGAGACCUUCUAUGAGCCUCCUGCGUGCAAGGCCAUGUUUGCCAAUCAAGACACCACACUCACUCGCAAAUUGGUCAUCUACUUUGUUGACUUCAUUGUUGGAAACUGGCUUCUGAUCUACCACUAUAAGCGACGUGGUAUAGUGUGCUGGUGCUGGAUAGUGAAUGAACAAUCACACUUCAAAUGCUGCUUCGACAAGUUUGACGGAGUUAUGACUGACCGCAUAUCUGCCCUGGUGCAAUACGUGGCCAGUAGUGAAGACUUGAAGAACAAACAGCAGACAAGCAUGAGCAGAAGUUGCAGUUAUAGUUGUAAUAUGAGUAGAAAGAUGUCGAGCAAGGAGGUCCUUAAUGGGAUCGCAGUUGGAAAAGAGGCCAAGGAUAACUGCCCCAAGUCUGAAUAGCUUUCAUUAUAUAAAAAAGCAUAUUCUUUAACAUUUUCAAUCGCCUCGACCAUGUUCAAAAAUUCACGAGAAUGUAAAUAGUUGCGGAUUCAAUCUGAAAUGGAUUUCGAAUGCUAACAACUGAACCCAAAAGGUCAUACGAAAAAGUAAAGCUGAUGAAUGAAUAUCAAGCAAAGGUCUAUUUUCCAGGAUAAGGUCUGAUGUCGACAGGUCUGGAACCAAGAAAUGGUGCUCUAUCACUCUGCAGAGGCGAUCUUCAUCAUCUGUUUGCUCGGCUACCGGCGAUUCUGCUCUGAACGACU